rnacentral:rRNA from 1 species
GUGCCAGCCGCCGCGGUAAUACGUAGGGGGCAAGCGUUGUCCGGAAUUAUUGGGCGUAAAGGGCGCGCAGGCGGUCUUUUAAGUCUGAUGUGAAAGCCCGCGGCUUAACCGCGGCAGGUCAUUGGAAACUGGAGGACUUGAGUACAGAAGAGGAGAGUGGAAUUCCACGUGUAGCGGUGAAAUGCGUAGAGAUGUGGAGGAACACCAGUGGCGAAGGCGACUCUCUGGGCUGUAACUGACGCUGAGGCGCGAAAGCGUGGAUAGCGAACAGGAUUAGAAACCCCAGUAGUCC